rnacentral:rRNA from 1 species
CGCUCUUUGAUAAUAUGAAUAAAGAGUUUGGCCUGCCCGGUGAUAAAUUAAACGGCCGCAGUAUCCUGACUGUGCGAAGGUAGCAUAAUAAUUUGUCUUAUAAUUAAAGAAUGGAAUGAAUGGUUUGACUAGGGUGUGACUGUCUCUUAUAUAUUUUUUAAAAAUUAAUCUUUAAGUUAAAAAGCUUAAAUUAAAUUGAAAGACGAGAAGACCCUAUUGAGCUUAUAAGGACUUAUUAAUUAUAGUUAUAAUAUAGAUAAAAAUUAAUAUUGAAAUUUUAGUUGGGGCGACUUGGGAAUAAAAAAACCUUCCUUAAUAAAUUAAAAAAGAUUUUUUUUGAGCCAAAGAAUUUUGAAUUAAGAACAAGUUACCAUAGGGAUAACAGCGUUAUUUUUUUUGAGAGUUCUAAUCGAAGGGAAAGUUUGCGACCUCGAUGUUGGAUUAGGGGUAAAAUAAGGUUGCAGAAGCUUUAUAUAUUUAGUCUGUUCGACUAUUAAUUUCCU